rnacentral:rRNA from 1 species
UACGUAGGGUGCGAGCGUUGUCCGGAAUUAUUGGGCGUAAAGAGCUCGUAGGCGGUCUGUCGCGUCUGCUGUGAAAUCCCGGGGCUCAACUCCGGGCUUGCAGUGGAUACGGGCAGACUAGAGUUCGGUAGGGGAGACUGGAAUUCCUGGUGUAGCGGUGAAAUGCGCAGAUAUCAGGAGGAACACCGAUGGCGAAGGCAGCUCGCUGGGACGGUAUUGACGCUGAGACGCGAAAGCGUGGGGAGCAAACAGG